rnacentral:rRNA from 1 species
GAUGAACGCUGGCGGCGUGCCUAAUACAUGCAAGUCGAACGGUAAGGCUUCCACUCUGUGUUUAAUGAUUUGAACAUAGUGUGGAAGUACACGAGUGGCGGACGGCUGAGUAACGCGUAGGAAUGUACCCCAAAGUGAGGGAUAAGCACCGGAAACGGUGUCUAAUACCGCAUGUGCUCUAAGGAGUAAAGCUUCGGCGCUUUGGGAACGGCCUGCGUAUGAUUAGCUUGUUGGUGAGGUAAUGGCUCACCAAGGCGACGAUCAUUGGCUGGUCUGAGAGGAUGAUCAGCCAGACUGGGACUGAGACACGGCCCAGACUCCUACGGGAGGCAGCAG